rnacentral:rRNA from 1 species
GAACGCUGGCGGCGUGCCUAAUACAUGCAAGUAGAACGCUGAAGGAGGAGCUUGCUUCUCUGGAUGAGUUGCGAACGGGUGAGUAACGCGUAGGUAACCUGCCUGGUAGCGGGGGAUAACUAUUGGAAACGAUAGCUAAUACCGCAUAAGAGUAGAUGUUGCAUGACAUUUGCUUAAAAGGUGCACUUGCAUCACUACCAGAUGGACCUGCGUUGUAUUAGCUAGUUGGUGGGGUAACGGCUCACCAAGGCGACGAUACAUAGCCGACCUGAGAGGGUGAUCGGCCACACUGGGACCGAGACACGGCCCAGACUCCUACGGGAGGCAGCAGUAGGGAAUCUUCGGCAAUGGACGGAAGUCUGACCGAGCAACGCCGCGUGAGUGAAGAAGGUUUUCGGAUCGUAAAGCUCUGUUGUAAGAGAAGAACGAGUGUGAGAGUGGAAAGUUCACACUGUGACGGUAUCUUACCAGAAAGGGACGGCUAACUACGUGCCAGCAGCCGCGGUAAUACGUAGGUCCCGAGCGUUGUCCGGAUUUAUUGGGCGUAAAGCGAGCGCAGGCGGUUAGAUAAGUCUGAAGUUAAAGGCUGUGGCUUAACCAUAGUAGGCUUUGGAAACUGUUUAACUUGAGUGCAAGAGGGGAGAGUGGAACUCCAUGUGUAGCGGUGAAAUGCGUAGAUAUAUGGAGGAACACCGGUGGCGAAGGCGGCUCUCUGGUCUGUAACUGACGCUGAGGCUCGAAAGCGUGGGGAGCAAACAGGAUUAGAUACCCUGGCAGUCCACGCCGUAAACGAUGAGUGCUAAGUGUUGGAGGGUUUCCGCCCUUCAGUGCUGCAGCAAACGCAUUAAGCACUCCGCCUGGGGAGUACGACCGCAAGGUG